GGCUCAGAUUGAACGCUGGCGGCAGGCCUAACACAUGCAAGUCGAGCGGCAGCGGGAAAGUAGCUUGCUACUUUUGCCGGCGAGCGGCGGACGGGUGAGUAAUGCCUGGGGAUCUGCCCAGUCGAGGGGGAUAACUACUGGAAACGGUAGCUAAUACCGCAUACGCCCUACGGGGGAAAGCAGGGGACCUUCGGGCCUUGCGCGAUUGGAUGAACCCAGGUGGGAUUAGCUAGUUGGUGAGGUAAUGGCUCACCAAGGCGACGAUCCCUAGCUGGUCUGAGAGGAUGAUCAGCCACACUGGAACUGAGACACGGUCCAGACUCCUACGGGAGGCAGCAGUGGGGAAUA
rnacentral:rRNA from 1 species